rnacentral:tRNA from 1 species
GCGGGAAUAGCUCAGUUGGUAGAGCACGACCUUGCCAAGGGUCGCGAGUUCGAGUCUCGUUUCCCGCUCCA